CCCCAAUAUCAGCGCAUCCUGCUUCGCGGGGCGGGUGUUGGGGUUAGAACCACCAAGUGGUGGUUACAGGCUUGAAGAAAGCCGCCGAGUGGUGUGGUGGUUUUGGAGGGAAAAUCUACCAAGUUCAAAAGUCAGGCGAGCGAAAGGUUCGCCGAGUCGGAAAGUCGGGCGAGUAAAAAAUUACCAAGUCCAAAAUAUUGCCGGCAGCAUACCCGGGACUCCAAGUAAGUCGGGGAAGAAAUUGGCGUAUUUUUUCCAACUUAUUUUUCCAACCAACUCAACUUGACCGAUUUACCCGCCCGAAUUGCCUGAGCUCCCGGGUAGGCUGCGGUUGAUUUUUGGACUUGGCAGGAAAGUAAAAAAUUUCACCAAGUCCGACAGUCAAUCGUAGCUUACCCGUGAGCCCAGGCAAGCAAAAAUCUCACCGAGUCCGAAAACUAACUACAGCUUACCCGUGAGCUCAGGCAAGUCAGGCAGGUAAAUUCCGCCAAGUCGGCAGGGAACUGAUUGUAAAUUAAUUCAAGCAAAUCCGCCAAGUCCACAAAUCAGUCGCAGCCUACCCGGUAGGCCUGUGUGUUUCCCGUGCGAUUUCCCGCAAAGACCAAAAAGUCGGGUGUUUUGGUACUUGACUUGUAUAGGCGUGAGUUGAUCUUUUUGUUUUCCCAUAUAAAUGAAUUUUGCGGAAAAUAAAAAGUAGUACACAAGCACCUAGCAGCGGAGGCGAACCCUUAAAAUAGUCGGCGGGUAUAUAAAAGAGAGGGCUGGACACGCGUCGCGUUGCGUAUUUCCGCCGCGCCCAACACUUUUAGCUUUAGGGUAGGCUACUUGUUUAGAGGCGCGCUGAAUUGGAUGGUCUCUUGAGUGAGGGGAUUUCUCUGCUGGCAGUUGCUUGUGAUCCGGGAGUCCGUGGUGGUGAAGUCAACUGUAAGGCUUGUGUGUGCGUGGGUGCGUGGGUGCGUGUGCCGGGGCCCUGUAAGUCCCGACCAGGAACCCUGCAGGUCACGUGCUGAUACGAUAAGAUAGAUAAGAUAUGCGGCACGUGUAUCAGCACGUGCCAAUACGAGUGACGAUAAGAUCGAUAAGAUACCUGGUAUAAUAAGUAAAAUACCUGCACGUGCCCAGUCACGGAGACUUGCACGUGUCCCGCUGCCAAGGUCCCCGAGGUCCCCGAGGUUGCCAACCUCGCCGACUACUCCUGGUGUAAUGUGCUGGUGCAGUUGUAUAUAAUUCCUUACUGGUCUUAAUAAUAGUACACUUGUUGAUCGCGAUGCGCUCACUUGUGGUGCGGUUGUGCGGCUGUGCUGACGCAAUUGUGGUGGUGCACUUACUCUACAAUAGUGCUGGUACUUGCGGUCACAUACAAUUUCCUAGUAUUUUGGCGUAGUUAUGGUCGUGGCGUGGUCGUGGCGGUGCAGUUACAGUAGUGCACUCACCUACACUUGUAGCACUGCUGGUACCGGCUACCGUCGCGUGCACGCGGCUGCUGUCGGCUGUGGUGGAGGGUUACCCGGGACCACGGUGCAUUUUCCCGUUUUUUCCAUUUUUUCAAAAUCGACGACCAAAAGGUUGGUAGGUCUGGGUUGCCUUGCUGGCCAAUAGAAAUUUGUAUGGCGCUACUAUAGGGUAGGUAUAGGGUAGGCUGUGCCGGUACUUGCGGUCGCACACAAAUCCCUAGCAACCCGAAGUACCCCCGCGGGCGGGCAACUUCAAACCGCUAUAGCUGCUUCCAGCGGCAUCGCACACAACUGUGAGGACCACCAUUCGAUUCGUCUCGCCGAGCUGCAUCGAUUGAGCCUGGGUUGCCAAAAAGUCGGGUGUUUUGGUAUUUGAUUUGUAUGGGCGUGAGUCGAUUUUUUUGUUUUCCCAUACAAAUGAAUUUUGCGGAAAAUAAAAAAUGGACCACGAGCGCCCGGUGGCGGAGGUGGACCCUCGAGGUGGUCGGUGGGUAUGUGAGAAGGGGGCGUCGAAAGAUGCCGGGACAGCUGGGUCUUCGCUGAAAGGCAGGAUUUCCGGUGAGUCACCGCCCUCUCUGUACCAUAUCUUGCCGAGCCCCAGUGCUUGAGUGGCCUCCUGAACACGCCUGUAGAAGCUCUUUUACAGGCUGGGAGGUCACACUGGGGAUUCAAACUCCACGAAGUCGGCGGCUACGGCCGUGCGGCGUACUGGUUAUACCUCGUGGCUGUGGGAGGCACCCGCCUCUUACCGCUCAGGAGAUGGGUUCUGUGGGCUGCUGGCCGCUGGCCAACAUGCCGUAAAUCAGAAUAACGGGAGGCAACCACGGGUAGCUGACGCCGAAAUGGCAGAGGCUGCCCGGAGCGUCCUCCUCUUAGGGCACCUAUACCGCACUUUACGGUGCGUGUGGACGGCUGCGCCUAGGGAAUUAGGAGGGGGAAAGCGGAUUUGCCGCUGGGCGGUCUCUCCCGGCCAAACGGGCAGGGCACCUCCCGGCGCGCAGCACCCUUUCGAGUGGGGGAAAGGUGUGCCGACCAGUAACUUGGACUAUUCUCUCCGGCGCCCGAGCUAGGGCGUCGGUAGGCCAACCCCGGCGAACGAUAGU
rnacentral:misc_RNA from 1 species